rnacentral:tRNA from 1 species
UGGGCUGUGGCUCGGUGGUAAAGCACUCGCCUAGCAUGUGAGGCACUGGGUUCCAUCCUCAGCACCACAU